rnacentral:rRNA from 1 species
CCUACGGGAGGCUGCAGUGAGGAAUAUUGGUCAAUGGGCGAGAGCCUGAACCAGCCAAGUCGCGUGAAGGAUGACGGCCCUACGGGUUGUAAACUUCUUUUGUCAGGGAGCAAUUUGGUCCACGCGUGGGCUUAGCGAGAGUAUUUGAAGCAAAAGCAUCGGCUAACUACGUGCCAGCAGCCGCGGUAAUACGUAGGUGGCAAGCGUUGUCCGGAUUUACUGGGUGUAAAGGGCGUGCAGCGGGGCCGACAAGUCAGAUGUGAAAGCCGCGGGCUUAACCCGCGAAAUGCAUUUGAAACUAGUGGUCUUGAGUACCGGAGAGGUCAGCGGAAUUCCUUGUGUAGCGGUGAAAUGCGUAGAUAUAAGGAAGAACACCAGUGGCGAAGGCAGAUGACUGGACGGCAACUGACGGUGAGGCGCGAAAGCGUGGGGAGCAAACAGGAUUAGAUACCCCUGUAGUC